AUCGAACGCUGGCGGCAGGCCUAACACAUGCAAGUCGAACGAACCUUUCGGGGUUAGUGGCGGACGGGUGAGUAACACGUGGGAACGUGCCUUUAGGUUCGGAAUAACGCAGGGAAACUUGUGCUAAUACCGAAUGUGCCCUUCGGGGGAAAGAUUAAUCGCCUUUAGAGCGGCCCGCGUCUGAUUAGCUAGUUGGUUGAGGUAAUGGCUCACCAAGGCGACGAUCAGUAGCUGGUCUGAGAGGAUGAUCAGCCACAUUGGGACUGAGACACGGCCCAAACUACUACGGGAGGCAGCAGUGGGGAAUCUUGCGAAAUGGGCGAAAGCCUGACGCAGCCAUGCCGCGUGAAUGAUGAAGGUCUUAGGAUUGUAAAAUUCUUUCACCGGGGACGAUAAUGACGGUACCAGGAGAAGAAGCCCCGGCUAACUUCGUG
rnacentral:rRNA from 1 species